UACGUAGGGGGCUAGCGUUGUCCGGAAUCAUUGGGCGUAAAGCGCGUGUAGGCGGUUCGGUAAGUCCGCUGUGAAAGUCGGGGGCUCAACCCUCGAAUGCCGGUGGAUACUGUCGGACUAGAGUACGGAAGAGGCGAGUGGAAUUCCUGGUGUAGCGGUGAAAUGCGUAGAUAUCUGGAGGAACACCGGUGGCGAAGGCGGCAUCCUGGACCGAUACUGACGCUGAGGAGCGAAAGCCAGGGGAGCAAACGGG
rnacentral:rRNA from 1 species